rnacentral:rRNA from 5 species
UGUUUGGAGAGUUUGAUUCUGGCUCAGGACGAACGCUGGCGGCGUGCUUAACACAUGCAAGUCGAACGGUAAGGCCUUCGGGUACACGAGUGGCGAACGGGUGAGUAACACGUGGGUGAUCUGCCCUGCACUUUGGGAUAAGCCUGGGAAACUGGGUCUAAUACCGAAUAGGACUACGGCCUGCAUGGGUUGUGGUGGAAAGCUUUUGCGGUGUGGGAUGGGCCCGCGGCCUAUCAGCUUGUUGGUGAGGUCACGGCUCACCAAGGCGACGACGGGUAGCCGGCCUGAGAGGGUGACCGGCCACACUGGGACUGAGAUACGGCCCAGACUCCUACGGGAGGCAGCAGUGGGGAAUAUUGCACAAUGGGCGCAAGCCUGAUGCAGCGACGCCGCGUGAGGGAUGACGGCCUUCGGGUUGUAAACCUCUUUCAGUAGGGACGAAGCGCAAGUGACGGUACCUAUAGAAGAAGGACCGGCCAACUACGUGCCAGCAGCCGCGGUAAUACGUAGGGUCCGAGCGUUGUCCGGAAUUACUGGGCGUAAAGAGCUCGUAGGUGGUUUGUCGCGUUGUUCGUGAAAACUCACAGCUUAACUGUGGGCGUGCGGGCGAUACGGGCAGACUUGAGUACUGCAGGGGAGACUGGAAUUCCUGGUGUAGCGGUGGAAUGCGCAGAUAUCAGGAGGAACACCGGUGGCGAAGGCGGGUCUCUGGGCAGUAACUGACGCUGAGGAGCGAAAGCGUGGGGAGCGAACAGGAUUAGAUACCCUGGUAGUCCACGCCGUAAACGGUGGGUACUAGGUGUGGGUUUCCUUCCUUGGGAUCCGUGCCGUAGCUAACGCAUUAAGUACCCCGCCUGGGGAGUACGGCCGCAAGGCUAAAACUCAAAGAAAUUGACGGGGGCCCGCACAAGCGGCGGAGCAUGUGGAUUAAUUCGAUGCAACGCGAAGAACCUUACCUGGGUUUGACAUGCACAGGACGCUGGUAGAGAUAUCAGUUCCCUUGUGGCCUGUGUGCAGGUGGUGCAUGGCUGUCGUCAGCUCGUGUCGUGAGAUGUUGGGUUAAGUCCCGCAACGAGCGCAACCCUUAUCUUAUGUUGCCAGCGCGUAAUGGCGGGGACUCGUGAGAGACUGCCGGGGUCAACUCGGAGGAAGGUGGGGAUGACGUCAAGUCAUCAUGCCCCUUAUGUCCAGGGCUUCACACAUGCUACAAUGGCCGGUACAAAGGGCUGCGAUGCCGUGAGGUGGAGCGAAUCCUUUCAAAGCCGGUCUCAGUUCGGAUCGGGGUCUGCAACUCGACCCCGUGAAGUCGGAGUCGCUAGUAAUCGCAGAUCAGCAACGCUGCGGUGAAUACGUUCCCGGGCCUUGUACACACCGCCCGUCACGUCAUGAAAGUCGGUAACACCCGAAGCCGGUGGCCUAACCCCUUGUGGGAGGGAGCCGUCGAAGGUGGGAUCGGCGAUUGGGACGAAGUCGUAACAAGGUAGCCGUACCGGAAGGUGCGGCUGGAUCACCUCCUUU